CCUUCUCCACUUGCCCAUCGCAGCACGUCGCCACAGCCAAUGAAACCAUCGACCUUAAGUCGCUUCAAAGUCACCGUCUUGGGCGCCAGCGGGGCCAUCGGCCAGCCGCUCGCUCUGGCGCUCGUACAGAACAAGCGAGUCAGCGAGCUGGCACUCUACGACAUUGUGCAGCCGCGCGGCGUCGCCGUCGACCUCUCCCAUUUUCCACGCAAGGUCAAGGUAACGGGGUACCCGACAAAGUGGAUUCACAAGGCUCUAGAUGGAGCGGAUCUCGUUCUGAUGUCGGCUGGCAUGCCCCGCCGACCCGGCAUGACCCACGAUGACCUCUUCAAUACAAAUGCUCUUACUGUGAACGAGCUGAGCGCGGCGGUGGCGAGGUACGCCCCCAAAUCCGUUUUAGCCAUUAUUAGCAAUCCACUGAAUAGCAUGGUGCCUGUCGCCGCAGAGACGCUGCAGCGGGCUGGAGUGUAUGACCCUCGCAAGCUCUUUGGCAUCAUUUCUCUGAACAUGAUGCGGGCCCGCAAGAUGCUGGGCGAUUUUACUGGUCAGGACCCGGAGAUGCUGGACGUGCCCGUCAUUGGCGGGCAUAGCGGGCAAACCAUAGUUCCUCUUUUCUCGCACUCUGGAGUGGAGUUGAGGCAAGAGCAGGUGGAGUACCUGACGCAUCGCGUACGCGUGGGUGGCGACGAGGUGGUGAAGGCGAAGGAGGGCCGUGGGUCUUCGUCGCUGUCGAUGGCGUUUGCGGCUGCCGAGUGGGCGGACGGGGUGCUGCGUGCGAUGGACGGCGAAAAGACUUUAUUGCACUGCUCUUUUGUCGAAAGCCCGCUGUUCGCUGACAAGUGCCGCUUCUUCGGCAGCACCGUGGAGGUGGGCAAGGAGGGAAUCGAGCGGGUGCUGCCACUGCCUUCGCUGAACGAGUAUGAGGAGCAGCAGCUGGACCGCUGCCUCCCGGACCUGGAGAAAAACAUCCGCAAAGGAUUAGUAUUCGUGGCGGAAAACGCGGCCACGUCGACACCCUCGACCGCCUCGCCUUAGAAGAGUUGGAGGUGCCACGUGAGGUGCGUGAUAGAGCAUGAGCACGUGCCGCAUGACCCUCGCUCCUCUUUGCUGCUCCCUUCCCCCUCCCAACCUCUCUCAAAACGCACAAGAACACCAGUGCAUGCUCAGGACCGCGCCAAUAGCAAAAAAGACAAUGCAGAAGGAACGGAUGUGUCCGUGUGUGGAUCUGUCGCCAAUGGGUGUGCGACAGCUCUAGAGAAGUGUAGG
rnacentral:misc_RNA from 1 species